CUUAAGAUGGGCUGGGCUGUGGGAAGCCAAGGGAAAGGGCUGUGCUAGGAGUCACCAGUCCUGAAUUCCCUCUGUUGUAAGGUCCCUGCUGGGCUGGCAUGUCUACAGGUAGCUGGGCAUGUUCAGCCUAAGAGCCUAGUGGACCAAGGAUCCCAGUCCUUCUGUGGUGAGCGCUGUGCUCUCUGCUCCUCUGUGCUGCACAGCAGUUCUGUCAGCCCGGGGCACAGCCCUAGUACACAGUCUGUCUGGACAGCCCUGCUACCCAGAGCCAUCCACUUGUGCACUCCUAAGGAGAUCCUCUGGGCCUUGCAUACCCCGGAGCUGCUUUCAUCUACUUCAUGUGACAUUUGUCUGCAAUGUCAUUAGAAGCAAAAUUUAUUUCACUUAACAGCCACACUUCAUCACCCCCAUGUUUGGUGAUGUUGAGGAUGGAACCCAGCCUCGGGCACAGGCGCCCUACCGCCAAGCUCCAUCCCCAGCCCUCCGGAGGAUUUUUCCAGAAUGCCCUUCUUUUUGUCACCCUGUUUUCAGGGACCAGGUGAGUGACUCCAGGGUCUCCUGAGCUAAGAGAGGGAUAGCAACGAUGGGCGUUUGCUGAAGGAUAGCGAAAAGCCCGAGUCAGACCAACUUGCUUUAGAAACUUUUUCUGAUAUAACCGAUUCUCAUUUGCAGACUGGGAAACCAAAGAGGUCCAAGCCAGGUCGUGGUAGGCGAGGCCAGGAAAUGCGCCGGAGCCCCUCCAGGAGGGCGGAGGGGAGCGUGGCUUUGAGGCCAGAGCGGGCGUAUUAGAGGCGACCCUCCAGUUCGGACUGGCCCCAGCCGCAGCACGGAGCGGACCCUCGAUGGAGUGACAGCCUCAGGGGUCGGGUCAGCCGCACUCUGCAGUGGGAGUUGCUCUGGGGAGAGGCGCCAGGGGGCUGGCCGGCCCAGCUCCUGAGCCCUCAGCCCUCGCCCAGGCUCUCAUCCAAGGGGGUUGGAGCUGGAGCCAAAGCGCACUGCGGGAAGGUCCGCGGCUCCCCGCCCGCCGCGAUUGGGUCGGUGUUGUUUUGUUUAUCAAUUAUUAUAUAAACGACGAGACGAGAUGGGGUGAGGACAGUGGAGAGGACAGAGAAGUGGAGAGAAAGGAGAAGCGAGUUGGUGGAAAGCCUUCGGGUUGGGGCGGGGUGGCGUGGGCUCCGCAGGCCUGGAGCGCCAGGGACACGCGACGGUUUUUACUAAUUUUUGAAGAAAUCAAAAAAGCUCAAGAGAAGUUUCAGAGUAAUCAGAAAUAAACUGAUUUUUAAAGAAGGCUUCCCGGCCUGGGUUGAAGUUGUUUCCUCCGCGGGCCCCUUGCUGCAGGGGCCCUAGGUUGGAGGCCUGGCCCCCGCCCUCCCAGCCUCCGCAGCGGCUGGUCAGCCCCUAUCUGCCGGCGCAGGCUUUGCCGAAUCGGAAGAGCUCCCGUCCUCUGGUUUAGAUUUCUCCUUACAUUGACUGAAACUAGAUGAACCUGCAGGGCCCGCCUUCUUCCCAGGACUUCAGAAGCAGCCAUCCAGCGCUGGGCUCUGCCUCCGGGGGCCACCUCUGGUUCCUUACCUGUCUCCCUACCUCCCAAGAUACAUUCCUGCUCCGGACACCUCCAGGCCCCCACCUCUUGCUGACCACCCUACUAGAUUGGUCUCCCAAAGAAAGGGGCCUGUGACCUGGAUUUCAUUUAGAUAUCACUCACAGAAUUUGCCUCCUGCCAACCCUAACUCUGAGCCCUUGACAAUGAACUUAUUUAAUCCUCUUUUACUCCUCUGAGUUCAGCCUAGGAAACAGCUGAAGAAUUCACCUUAAACUGGGAGAGGGGGAGUGACUUGCUCAAGGUCACACAGCUAGUCAGUGCCACCACUUGGUUUCAAAUCUAGGGAACCCAGCUCCAGAGCCUGAGGGCCCCGGAGCCAUUCCAUGCCCAGCUCAGGGCUGACAAGGAACCGUCACUGUGACAUGUUGGUUAACUGGUUAAAGAGUGCAGUGAUAGCAUUAGCGCCCACCUCUUGGAAGAUCAGCUGCUAUGGUUCCCUGGGAGCAGGAAGGAAUGACAGCUGGGCCCUGGCCAGCGGUCUGUCCCUCUGGCCCCACUCUGCUGCUCUCAGAGGACAGCUUAUUCCAGAAACAGUGGGCAGUGGAGAGACCCAACAGGCGGGUCACCCAGAGCCACCCUGGACUACUACCCUGCCCCACCCACAGCUGCACAGGGUAACAGCAAGGAGUGUUGCCCAACAUCUGUUGGCGCUUACUCUGUGCCAGGGCCAGCACUAAACAUUGGCCCUUCAAAUACCCUUCUGCCAUUUUCCAAGAGGAAAUUGAAACCCAGACAAGUCCAGGACGUCACCCACCUAAGACCUCCCCCUCAGUAGUGUGGAGUGGGGGAGUCCUUGCUUGAAUCCAGAAGGUUCCACCAGAGCCCUGGCUCUUUAGAUACUCCCAACAGUUCCGGAGCUUUCCUGCAGACACAGAGGCUGAAGCUGGGAUAGACCCAAGCCCUGGCUUCGAAGCUCCUUCCCUGGGUUCUGCAGACCCAGGCCUGCAAAACUGCCUUGGUAGCAGGUGACUCUCGUCAUUUAGCAAGUUGGAGAAGCACAACCUGCAGAGGCCCCAGACCUCCCGGGGAACAGCACUUGAAGGCCUGGGAGAAACCUGGAGUCAGAUUUCCUGCUCCUCUGUGACCCACUGGACCCACCCUGGGGAGGGAGGAAGGGGCUGGGAAAGUAGCUGGGACAGGCUAGGAGAGGGACUCUGGGACCCCCUCGGUGUGGCCCAGAAGGGGAAGCCACCCUUGCCGCCUGCACAGACCGGUGCUCCAGAGAAGAGGGACUCCGAGGACUAUUCAAAGACACCCACCUGAUCUGGAUCCAACUCCACCCUGGAGUCCUGCAGGAAGGGGAGCAGGGGAGCCAGCCCCCGGGCGCCCGCAGCCUGCCGGAUCUCUCUGCAAGAUCCCUGGUGCCUGCAGUCAGCUGCUCCCAGAGCCAGCCUUGAAAGGCUCUACCACUUGCCCUGUCCCCAGAGUUGAGAAGGAGCCAAGCCAAGUCAGACCCCAAAGCCUCUUCUCUAGCUCAGCCCCACGCCCAGUGCUCCUGCUGCUAGAGCUCCACCUCCUGCUUGGCUUCCCUGUUCCAGGGCGAGCUCAGUGGGUAGCUCUGGGGAAGGAGCCCUGGGUUUCAGUGAUGCAGCAGUCGUCAUUCUUCUCAUUCUCAGGGGCCCUGCAGUCUCAACUGGGUCUGGUUGGUGGCUGUUGCUUAGAUUUUUUUACAGAUUAAAUUAAAAAGAUCUGUUUUCCUUUCCCCCCCCCCCAAAUCCAGGCAAAUAUGAUGCCCCAUUAUUCCCACAAACUUGCCCUCACUAGUGGCUCCGUGUGACUUCUUCCCAUGAUCUGGAUUUCCUCAUCACCUAAUAUAAACACCGCAGAAGACUUGAGAAGAUUUGAGGUUUAAAAACAUGUAAAGAAUCGAUGGUUUAAAAUGUCCCCCUUUUUUUUUUUUUGGAGGUACUGGGGAUUGAGCCCAGGGGCACUCUAUCGCUGAGCCACAUCACCAGCCCUUUUUAUUUUUUAUUUUGAGGUCAGAGUCUCCAUCAGUCACCCAGGCUGGCCUUGGACUUGGGAUCCUCUUGCCCCAGGCUCCUGAGUGGCUGGGAUUACAGGUGUGGCCCGACAACCUGCCACAGGUAAGGUAAAGGUCUCGGUGAGGUCCCAGGCUGCUCCUGCGCACUCUGUAACUCUGCAAGUGGGUCAGAAAACUAUAGGAAUGCAGACCUGGAAGACCAGCCAGGAGGUUCUCAGAUGGGGGAUGAGGUGGGGUUCUUUACCAGUGACCAAGAUGGCACAGCUGUGGUGAUGAACUGCGUGCUACGGGGAGGACAAAGGCCAGUCGAACAGAAGAGCGUGCCCAGAAUCAGACCCACACAUUGGCGAUCCGUGACAGAUGUGUUCUUAGGGUCAGCAGAGGAAGGGUGAACCUCCUAGAAACCAUUCCCUAGAGGACAAAACUCGGCAAAUUAGACCCCUACCUCACACAUUCCCGAAAAUCAAAUCAAGGUCAAUUAAAAACCCACCUGUGAUUCAAUCCCCCCAACACACACAUAAUAAUAAUAAUAAUAAAUAAAAAAUUAAAUAAAACUCACCUGUGAGAAGCAAAACCGCACAACACUUAGAAGACAAUAUUGGAAACUAUCCUUAUGACCUUAUGGUAGGAAAAGGCACUUAAAUAUAAUACCAAAAAGCACACACCUUAAAGAAAGAUGGACUAUAUUAAAAUUUAAACUAGAUAUUCCCUAAGACACCACUGGAGAGUGAAAAGACAGGCCACGAGAUGGGAGAAGACACUGGAAAACAUACCGCCAACAAAGCCCUGGCCUCCCGCACGCGGCGGGGCAUCCAAACUGGCCCUGGCCGCUGCUUGCUGGCUUCCUUGCUGUUUGCCCCCAAAAGCCAGGCACAUUCCUGCCUCAGGGCCUUUGCAUUGCUAUUCCCUUUACUUGGAAUGCCUUCCUUCCUGGUGAAGUGCUCACUCAAAGGCCGCCUCACCGUGAGGCCCAGCUCGGUGCCCUCACACAUCCCCAGCAGCUUCUGCUGAACCCAGGGUCCUGUGGAGUUUUGUGACUUAGCCUUAGCAUCAGGAGGUUCCACCCAAGACAAAAUUUAAAGGGAAAGACAAUAAAAUGAAAGAGGCCUCAAUCAUGCAAACCAAACAAGCAGGAAGGCGCAGACAUUCUAAUGCCCGGCCUGACAUCAUUUUAUCCUGUCUAGCUGCUGCUUUUCCUGGGUUUCAGGUAUUACUUAGCCGGCUGUCCCUGCACCUUUAAAGGGACAUGCCCACUGGGAACUCCCAGCUGCCCUAAGGGCGCAGGUGCUGCUGCAGCUGAGGACACUGGGUGAGUCUGGAGCUUGCAGGGCUGAGUCAAAGCCAGGACAGGGACUUCUGCCUCCCCGUGGGGGGGGUCACUGUCCCCCACCCACAAGUCAGGGGCUGGCAGGGGAGGAGGUGGAGAGGAAACCCAUCACCACGGCCUGGCCCACGUGACUCCGUGACUCCGACUUCACACCUCCCAGGACCACCGAGGCCAAAGGUGGCGGGAAAGUGCAGUUCCGGGUGUCAGAUGUGCACCAGAGGGAAGCAAUGGGCAUGCCCGCCUGCAGGAGCGCAGGAUUGCUGGUUUUAUUAUCAUUAAACUUACUGACCCCUGUUCAUUGUGCACAGGAUGGGGUUCACUGGUCAUCCCCAGUAGGCACGCAUCGCGAUGGGUUGUGCCGCUCACCCCCUUCUACCCGCUCCCCAGCUCCCUGAGUCCCCUCCCUGUCUCCUGACCCCUGAACCUUCUCUCUGCUCCCAGAUGGCUUCGUUUGUUUCUCAGUUUCCACAUUUGAGACACUUGUCUUUGGGUCUGACCUAUCUCACUCAGCACAAAGUCCUCCAGUUCCUUCUAUUUCCCAGCAAAUGCCAGGAUUUUGUUUUUCUUUAUGGAUGUAUAAUACUCCAUUGUGUGCAUGUAUCAAAUUUUCUUUAUCCACUUAUCUGCUGAUGGGACCCUGGGCUGUCUCCAUACCCUGGCUAUUGUGAAUUGUGCUUUAAUAAGCAUGGGUGAGUGGAUAUCGAUUUGUAGGCUGGCUUCAUUUCAUUUGGAUUUAUAUCAGGAGAGGUCGUGUAGUAGGAAGUGCCAUCCUGUUUUCCACAGUGACUGUACCAGCUGACAUCCCGGCCAGCAGUGGGUGAGGGUUCCUUUUCCUCCACAUGUGUGCCUGUGUCUACUAUUUUUGUUUGUGUUUUGAGAUGGGGUCUCUAUGUUACCCAGAAUGGCCUUGGUUUUGUGGGUUCAAGCAAUCCUCCUGCCUCAGCCUCCCAAAUGGCUGGAAUUAUAGACACCAGUCAUCAAUUUGUUUUAGUUUUUGUUUGUUUUUUGGUACCAGGAUUGAACUCAGGGCACUCAACCACUGAGCCACAUCCCCAGCCCUAUUUUGUGUUUUACUUAGAGACAGGGUCUCACUGAGUUGCUUAGCGCCUCACUGUUGCUGAGGCUGGCUUUGAACUCCUGACCCUCCUGCCUCAGCCUCCCGAGCUGCUGGGAUGACCGGCGAUCCUCUGGUUUUUUGAUGAUGGCCAUCCUAACUGGGCGGUAGAACCUCACUGUGGCUUUGAUCUGCGUGUCCUGCUGGCCACAGAGCCUGAGCAUCUUUUGUGUAUUUGUUGGUCGCUGGCACUUCUUUUGAGGUGUGUCUAUUCAGACUACUUGCUCGUCUUCGAUGGCACUAUCUUUUAAGCUGGCUUUUUGAGUUCUUCACGUAUUCGGGGUGUGAGUGCCCUGCCUGGUGAGCGGCCACACGGUCCUCGCUCUUCGCUGUGCAUAUCGCUUCCUCUGCUGGCCACUUUGGAGCUGGCUGUGACCAUGUGUCAGUUCUUGCCUUUGGAGGCCGAGCCAGGAAAUCACGGUGUGAAAGGCCCAGAAAGUUACCCGUUCUCCUCUGGCAGCUCCCUAGUUUCCGGUUGCGCGUUGGGUCUUUGAUCCGCUCUGGUCCGAUGUGUGUGAUGGUGAGAGAGGGCAAAGUCUCAGCCUCCCCGUGUGUUGAAGAGGCCACGUGUCUCCCCAGCGUGAUUCCUGGCACCUUGGUGGAACACCAGCUGGCGGAGGGGUCUCAGGGAGGGACUUCCCAGUCCUCUGCUGAUUCAGAUUCAUACAGAGAAUACAACUGGCCCCUCCAGCCCGUCCUCUAUAAUGAGCCACGAGAUCAGAGUUUAAAAAUGCAAAUACUAAAUAUAAGUCAGCGGGUGGGCGGGCAGGUGGGUGCGUGGGGAGGGCCUGCCUCAGGAGCUUCCAGAAGCUAUGAACCGGGUCCAGGCCGGAGGAAAUGCCCACGUCAUCCUUGCUCCUGUGUCAAAGCUGCCCUGGAGGCCCUGUGAGGACUGAGGCUCUGGGCUCCCCUGUUGAGGGCCACAGCCAAGUCGGGAUGACGCAUGGCAUUUUUGCCACAAGCAGUGGUUGAGAGGUGACGCCAUCAGCCAUUAAGAUAAUGACUUUUGAGUUCUCGCGGAGUUCCCAUUGAGCUCUCGCGGGGAUUCCUGAAGAGUUCCCAUUGGUUGGGGAAGUGCCGGAGGAGGGAUAUUUCCGGUUGGUGGUUCCUGGAGGAGCGGCCCGGCCAUCGGGAGAGUUCCCGGGGAGCGUGUGUGGAGUGUGCUGGUGGAGUUCAGAAAUAAAGUUUGUUCCUGCUUCAGUGGCUCGUGAUUCUUGCCCAGCCAGACUGCAGCACUCCCCGGUCCUAGGACAGUUCCUGGCAAGACGUGGACUCAGCCUCGGCUACUCGGGGCUUGGCACUGGCUCUGUCUCCCGACCUUGGCCGUCACCCAGGUUCCCAGCAGGGACCUGCCUCCUGGCCUCCCACAGGGGCUCUCGCAGCUGGUCUCCUGAGUGAGGCCCAGCUGACCCCAGGUUAGCCAUUGUCUACUGUGCGGAGGGGACCGCAGUAGGAAGCAGGAGGCUGGGCCUGCUGCCGGAACGCGUCUCCACGGCCAGGUGGCAGGCAGUGGGCAGCCCACCAGCACCCACAUGUCCUCCUGGGUGGCCCGAGGAUGGCCCCUUCGCCCCAUAUGAGGUGGGCCCAGGGUGCGCUGGUCACCUGCUUGUCUGAGUAGGGGGGCAGCAGCCAUGUGCAUCGCCCAUGGCCAGAUCUGCAGGCAGCAAGGGCCAGGGCCAGGCUUCACUGCAAGCUGUCCCCAGGUUCCCAGGCGCAGGAAGCUGUGGGGGGGUGGGGGAAUGCCAUCCUGCCUGCAGGUGUGUCUCUGGCCAGGAGGCCCUGUGAAGUGGCCCACCAUGGGGUGUGCACCUUGGGGCACCAGGACACCUGGGCUCAAGUGCAGAUGGACACCUGUGGGGAGGGGGACUGGCCCUGGCUCCCCACAGCCACUCUGUCCAGCCACACUGCAGAUCUCUCCUCAGCCACCGUGGCCUGUCCCUGGUACCCUGGACCCGGCCUGAAGGCCCCUUCUCAGGCUGGACCUCCCGCACCCUUGGGACGCUCUGCGGCUCUCAUUUGUGGCUGUACUUCGUGGUAGUGGGGGUUGGGCCCCAGCACUCUCCUCUGAGACGGGGUCUCACUGAGGUGCUGAGGCUGGCCUGGGACAUGAGACCCUCCUGCCUCAGGCUCCUGGGCAGCUGGGGUACAGGCCCGGGCCCCCAGGCCUGGCUGACCUACUGUCCUCCCUCCUAGACGUCAAGCACACAAUGGCAGGGAGGUGUCAUCACGGCUCAUCUUACUCAGCAAUGGCACUCUCCACGUGAGGCACGGCCCUUGCGGGAGCCUAAGGCAGACAGCACCGUCACCUGCACUGCUCAGACAGGCCCAGGACGCAGAGGGCCAGAAGCAGAGCCAGGCCCAGGAAGGCUGCCUCCAGCACCUGCACCCAGGGCCCUGGCUGACCGCCUGGCUCACCAUUGCCUGGCACACAGUAGUCACUCAAUAAAUGUAUAGCAAAUGAAUGGCUGUGAUCUAGAAGUGUCCUGGGUAAGCAGACAGUGUGAGGGUGUGCCCAAAUGUUCACUGUGUCGCACACUUGGCCAUGUUAAGAGGUGGUAGUGCCUGGAAGGGGUGGGACCCAGGUCUUCAAAGGAAUUAACCUAGUUCUCAGGUGCCCUCUGGUAGCCUUUCUCGCAUGUGGUCACUCCCAUUUGCAUCUUUGCC
rnacentral:lncRNA from 1 species